GUAUUUUACCCAAUAAAUAAACUAGUUGAUGCAUCCACACAUUUCUAAGGCAUUGGCUCAACUCCCCCACUAAUUGAUUAAUCGGCUAGGACUGAACAUAUAUCAAUUUUAAACCACAAGAACUUUACAGUAUUUUACUCAAUAAAUAAACCAGUCGAUGCAUCCACACGUUUCUAAGGCAUUGGCUCAACUCCCCCACUAAUUGAUUAAUCGGCUCAGAAACAUUUGAAGGAACGAUCGACCCUAAUUAGCUCACCAAAAUUAACCUAAAGUGAACAUUUUGUAGUUGUGUGUAGGAAGCGUGGUACCAAGGAGAUCCCUUUCUUUCGCUUCCAUAGCAUCUCUUUUUUCUCCAUCAGCGAAUGACCCACCAAUCAAGGAUUCAAGGGUUCUCUCAUCUCUUCCCUUUUCUUUAUUCCACCCCUUUUUGUUUUUGCCUCUUUCAUUGAACCUUUUCUUAGAGAAGAAAAGUGAAGCAGGGCCAGCACUUCCUUGUUUUCAGAUUUUAGCAGCAAAUUAGAUGGAGACGCGACCCAUCCCUAGUACGCAAGUUGCGACUUGAUGCUGCUAUCCACUCGCAUAAGGGCAACAUAAAUUAAAUUCUCAAAGAAAAAAGAAAAAAAAAAAAAAGGAAACAAACAAUAGCAUGAUCAAGUAUUGCUUAACAUCUAUUUACUACAUUAACGUACACAAGUUAGAUGCGUCUUUUUGUUUACCUCACUCAUAAUCGAGCAUUGUUUGGUCACAUGAUUGUGUAUAGGUCAUAUAAGCUUACAUAUUAAGAUUAUCAUCAACUUGUAGCUUUUCUAAUAAUAUAAUUCCCCGAGCAUUACUCCUGUAUAACAUUUUAUUCGUUACGAAAAUAGAAAAGAAUCAAAAAGAAAAAACCUUGACACAUAACAGUUAGAGAGAUAUAAAAAAUUAAAACGGGAUUUGGUGGUUCGAAGAAGAUACUUGUAGGGACAUAAGCAAGUGCGAAACUGAGGAUAAGAAUCAUAGAAUCAGCAUAGAAAUCAGUGCAAAUGCUGAAUGAAAGAAGACCCUUUUGAACAGCGAAUCUACCACUAGACAUAGGCCACAAACAACUGAAGGUACGUACACUUGGGAUAUCCUUGGCUUCUUUUUGCUGCUUUCAGUUUUUGCAAAAGCCCUUAUCCAACCAAGAACAUUUUCCAGAAUCCAAUCAAUAAUACUCUCCUUUUGUUUCACGACUGAAAUUCAGAGUAAGCAGCAAAGGAAUUUGGCAGUGCAGUACUUUUUGCAGAUGUGAAUUGCAUCUUCUGCGCCCGCAGCUCCUUGUUUUCUACUACAUUCUAAGGGAAGCUACAAAAAGAAAGACAACCCAAACGGUGCAGUUGGGUUGGCUGGAUGGAUAUCUAACUGAAAUGAAAAACGCAUCGCCAUUUUUUCUUGCUUAAUGAAUUACUAAACAUCACCUCUCAUGACUACUCUUGAAAUCAUCAUGAUCCUAUAGGUACACUGUUAGGUGUGCCAAACAACUGAUACCAUCCCUCCCAUGGUUUCAUCUUACGUUUCCUCUUUCUCUGGUUUUAUUAUCACAACUGUUUAUACAUUAUUGAUUUCAAACAUGUAAUCACGUAUGAAAGACACAAUUUGAUACGUCCGCCCUACGAUUGCAACGUUUAUUUUUAUUUUUGUUUAAGAUUAGAACACUGAUAGAAGAAAACUAUAUACAAAUUAAGUCUCCCCCUACCACUAUCUAUUUCUAUAAAAUGAAAAGAUCAUUGGCUGGAUGGAUAAUUUCUUUCUGUAUCUUUUUAAGUCUCCCAGUGUACUCAUUUCAUUCUUAGACUUUUCUGCAAGCGGCCCUUGUACAAUUAGUUAAAUGCAUCUCUUUAUUAGUUAAACAUACCACUACAUAUGAACUUUGCAACAACCAA
rnacentral:lncRNA from 1 species